AAACUUCUUGGGCACACAUGGUAUAUUCACCAAAAUAAGACUACAUUUAAUUGUUUGGAUUUUUUUUUUUUUUUUUUAAAUUAAGCACUCUGGAUGUACUGACCCUUGCAAUUUCCCCAAAUGUGGGAAACUCGACUGCAUAAUUUGUGGUAGUGGGGGACUGUGUUCACACUAUCCCCUG
rnacentral:snRNA from 1 species